rnacentral:rRNA from 1 species
AAGUCCCGCAACGAGCGCAACCCCUACGUUUAGUUGCUAACGCGUGAAGGCGAGCACUCUAGACGAACUGCCGUUGACAAAACGGAGGAAGGUGGGGAUGACGUCAAAUCAUCAUGCCCCUUAUGUUCUGGGCUACACACGUGCUACAAUGGCCGGUACAGACGGACGCAAAGCCGCGAGGCGGAGCAAAUCCGAAAAAGCCGGUCUCAGUUCGGAUUGCAGGCUGCAAUUCGCCUGCAUGAAGUCGGAAUCGCUAGUAAUCGCAGGUCAGCAUACUGCGGUGAAUACGUUCCCGGGCCUU